UUAACUGAAACCAAAUUAGAGGUAAAUCACUGUUAAUGAUUUUAAUGAGUACUCUCCUGUUAAA
rnacentral:tRNA from 1 species